rnacentral:rRNA from 1 species
GUCCUACGGGGGGCAGCAGUGGGGGAUAUUGCACAAUGGGGGGAACCCUGAUGCAGCGACGCCGCGUGAAGGAAGAAGUAUCUCGGUAUGUAAACUUCUAUCAGCAGGGAAGAAAAUGACGGUACCUGACUAAGAAGCCCCGGCUAACUACGUGCCAGCGGCCGCGGUAAUACGUAGGGGGCAAGCGUUAUCCGGAUUUACUGGGUGUAAAGGGAGCGUAGGUGGCAGGGCAAGUCAGAUGUGAAAACCCGGGGCUCAACUCCGGGAGUGCAUUUGAAACUGUCCAGCUAGAGUGCAGGAGAGGG